rnacentral:tRNA from 1 species
GCCGAAGUGGCGGAAUGGCAGACGCGAAGGUCUCAAAAACCUUUGAGCUUAGCUCGUGUGGGUUCGACUCCCACCUUCGGCACCA